rnacentral:rRNA from 1 species
UACGUAGGGUGCAAGCGUUUAAUCGGAAUUACUGGGCGUAAAGCGUGCGCAGGCGGUUUUGUAAGUCUGUCGUGAAGGCCCCGGGCUCAACCUGGGAAUUGCGAUGGAGACUGCAAGGCUAGAAUCUGGCAGAGGGGGGUAGAAUUCCACGUGUAGCAGUGAAAUGCGUAGAGAUGUGGAGGAACACCGAUGGCGAAGGCAGCCCCCUGGGUCAAGAUUGACGCUCAUGCACGAAAGGCGUGGGGAGCAAACG